GGGGGGGGGGGGCCUGGUGCACAUAAAAGUGACCAAAAGGCAACAGUGAGCAAGCCAGUGUAUAUCUGUGAGCACAGCAGCCCCGUGUGCAACAUUGAAACACUUAAGCUCCUGAAAACAGGAAUUAAAGCUCAGAUAAACACAGCUGUUUUGCAAAAAACCUUACCCCACAGCAAACCCUAGGCAGAGGCUCAGGAGGCCAAAACUCUGACCUGCAAAACCGCCUGGGGAGAAAGCUUGCCGGUGGGCAAGCUUCUGUGGGCAGAAUUUUACAUGUUGCUUCACAGGUCCAAGUGGAUCUCAGAAUAAGCCGUCCGCACGCUGAAAAUACGUUAGGGGCAGGUUCUCAGGCUGGGUGGCUAGCAUCAUCGGGGUGGGCGGGGAGAGGGGGCUUCAGUAUUCGAGUCAGACUCCGGGGCCCUGUGCCUGGAGAUUCGGGGUCGUUCUGAGCCUGCAUCUAGCCGGCAUCCACAGGUGAUUCCCACCCACCAACCGGGGGCGCGGUCCCCGUCAUCCUCAAAAACGACAGGAACUUGAAACCCCACUUUCCCCAGGGACAGGUGAGAGAUCAGAACGACAAAUGUGCGCAAAGCUCGACACGCAGUUGGUCCUUGCUAGGCAUCCCUUGAGUGAGUGAACGCAGGAACCCGGCAAAGGCACCGGCCGUUGGGGGAGGGGGAGGGUCACGUUAGCAGGGGAAGCAUCGUGCUUUCAAGGGCGUGGGGAGCACCCACCCCAGCGAGGGCCAAGGCCAGGGAGCCUCUGAUCCACAUUUGCUCUGCCCACUUGCACUGCAUACUGCUGACUCCCACCCAGUAAACAGGCGGCUUGACAAUGGACCUCUUUUUAUGGCGCACUAAGCCUCAGAACAAAGAUUCACAAGAAUGCAUUGUCCAAAUGUGCAAGCUUCGUUCCUGCUCAGCUGGAACCACUUAGAAAACUCAGACGCCAGGACUCCCCUGGCCUGCCCUGCCGCCUGUACCAGCAGGGAUCUCGUUUCACGGCUCCAGAGAGAAAGCUCUAGAGGUGACAGAGCAACAGGUGUAUAUGCCGCCUUUCCUGCUUUCCCUUCCAGGCUAGUGUCGGCGGCCUGGGGUUCACUUUCCCGCCUGAAGCCAAGGCCUGGUCUGGUCCGUGCCAAAGUGGAAGGUGCUGGCGUGGCGGGCCAGCUUGCAAGGAGAGGGAAGAUAAGGCAGGAGGCAGAAAAUAGGAACAGAGUGAAAGUGAGAUCGGCUGAGAAUCUGUCUACCGAAGCUGAACUUGCCCCUGGACCCGUAGACUCCCCGGGAGAAAUGUGUGCUCGUGCUGGCCGAAAGAAUAGAGUGUCCUUAGCAGGACUAUUAUAAUGGUAGAAACCUAGAAACCGCCCAAAUGUCCAUCAACGGUGCAACGGCCGUGUAAGCUGGGGAUUCAUCGCACCAUGUGAUGAGGAUGAUCAUUAUACAGACAAUAGAGGUGAAUGUCCCAGGGUCGAGUGCAGGACGCCAGACUCUAAAUUAGAGUUCACCUUCGAUUCUACCUAACAAAAAGAAACAACGUGUCCGUGUGGUUACAAGUCGGAAUCGCGGUUGCCCAAAGGGAAUCCUGCAGGGGACGCUGGGGGACAGACUUUGGGGUACAGAUCCUAUUCUAUUUGUUCCUCGGGGUGCAGCUCACACGCUUCUUCACUUUGUGAAAAUUCACUGAGCUGCUCACUUCUGAUACGUGCGCUUUCUUCAUGAGUUAUUCUCAGUGGCAUGCUGAUAAAUGUGUAGCCAGCUCUCAAAAAAGUAAAAUAUUUAGAAGCCCUUAUCUGUAGCAUCUCCCAAUUCUGGCAGUGUGAGUGUCUCUAGCACGGCUGAUUACAAACUGCUAAUGUGAUGCCCCUGAAUGCCAGGUCGGGAAAAGAGGCACAGAUUGUCUAGUCCAUCCUUGCAAAUUGGGUUGAGCCAGCUCCAGGGGUCUGCUGGUUGUACUUCAACAAAAGUUUUUUGUUUUGCUUUGCUUUGCUUUGUUUUGUUUUGUUUUAAAGGAAGCCUGGGGCGCCUGGCUGGUCGGUAAAGCCUGUGACUCUCGAUCUCGGGGUUGUGAGUUCAAUCCCCACAAUGGGCAUGGAGCCCAUUUAAAAUAAAGGUUAAAGGGGCGCCUGGGUGGCUCAGUCGGUUAAGCGUCCGACUUCAGCUCAGGUCACGAUUUCUCGGUCUGUGAGCUCGAGCCCCGCAUCGGGCUCUGGGCUGAUGGCUCAGAGCCUGGAGCCUGCUUCCGAUUCUGUGUCUCCCUCUCUCUCUGCCCCUCCCCCGUUCAUGCUCUGUCUCUCUCUGUCUCAAAAAUAAAUAAACGUUUAAAAAAAAUAAAAUAAAAUAAAGGUUAAAAAUAAUAAUAAAGGGGCACCUGGGUGGCUCCCUUGGUUAAGUGUCUGACUCUUGAUUUCAGCUCAGGUCAUGAUCUCACAGUUUGUGGGUUCAAGCUCCGCAUGGGGCUCUGUGCUGACAGCUCGGAGCCUGGAGCCUGCUUCGGAUUCUGUGUCUCCCUCUCUCUCUGCCCCUCCCCUGCUCACGCUUUCUCUCUUUCUCUCUCUCUCUCUCUCUCUCUCUCUCUCUCUCUCCUCCUCCUCUCAAAAAUAAACAUUAAAAAUUUUUUAAUUAAAAUAAUAAUAAUUAAAAUUAAAAGCUAAAUCUGCUCGAAUGCGAAGGUGAGCCCUUGAUGACCUCACUACAUGCUUAACAUCUGUCACCUACCUCCCCACCUCUCUUCUUUUUUAAACAUCAACAGCUUGGGGCACCUGGCUGGCUCAGUUCGUAGAGCAUGUGACUCUCGAUGUUGGGGUCAUGAGUUUGAGCCCCGUGUUGGGUGUAGAGAUUACUUAAAUAAAACUCAAACAUAUAACGGCUUCAUUGCAAUAUAAGUCACAGAUCAUACAGUUCGCCCAUUUAAAAUGUACAUUUCAAUGGUGUUUAGUGUAUUCCCAGAAUUGUACAACCAUCACCACACUUAACUUUAGAACAUUUCAUCACCCCAAGAAGAAACCCCGUAUCCGUUAGUCACUCCCCAUUUCCCUUCAGCUCUUGACAAUUGGUAAUUUACUUCCGGUCUAUAUAGGUUGGUCUCCUUUACACCUUUCAUAUAAAUGGAAUCAUAAAAUAUAUGGUCCUCUCUGGCUUCUUCUACUUAGCAUAAUGUUUUCAGGGGUCAUCCAUGUUGUCCAAUAUAUCAGUAUUUCAUUUCUUUUCAUUGCCAGGUAAUAUUCCACCCUAUGGAUGUACUUUGCUUUGUUUAUCCGUUGAUGAGCCUUUGGAUGGCGUCCCCUGUUUGGACCGUUUUGAAUAACGCUGCUGUGAACAUUUGUGUGUCAGGUCUUGUGUGGGCGUAUGUUUUCAUUUCUCAUCCCUAAGAGUGGACAUGCUGGGUCAUGGGUAUCACUGUGUGUGACCAUGUGAGGAGCUUCGGACUGAUUUCCACGGUGGCGCCCUGUGUUACACCCCCACCAGCGGUCCGUGAGGACUUCCUGUUUCUCCACGUCCUCGACAACACUGUUUAUUAUCUGUCUUUUUUAUGAGAGCCUGCCACGUGGGGUUGGAGUGGUGUCUCAUUGUGGUUUUGAUCUGCGUUCCCCUGAUGACUAACGCCAUGGAUCGUCUUUUCAUGUGCUUCCCGGCCACGUGUAAGUCUGCUACAGAGAAGGCUACAUAGUAACCUUUCCCCGGGUUAAAAUGGGGAUUGUCUUUUCGUUACUGACUUGUAGGAGGUUUAUUUGUUUGAGAGAGAAAGAGAGUGAGCAGGGGAGGGGCAAAGGGACGGAGAGAGAGAAUCCCAAGCAGGUAGCCCUCCAUCAGCACAGAGCCAGACUCGGGCUCGAACCCACGAACUGCGAGAUCAUGACCUGAGCUGAAAUCCAGAGUCAGACGCUCAACCCACUGAGCCACCCAGGCGCCCCUACAGGAGUUCUUUAUAUAUACUACAUACAAAUCCCUUAUCAAAGAUAUGAUUCACAAAACUUUUCUUUCCUUCUGUGGGUGGUCUUUUCCUCCCACUCUUGGACGUGAACGUGUCUUCAAGAAGAUGGAACUUUCAGGAGUCACAAACUCUGAAGCCUUCAAAGCCGGGAAAAUAACCUAAAUAUGUGAGUGAUCUUUGGGAUUUCUCUGGUAAUACUGUUGUCCAGACUAAACUAUGCAUUUCUACAGCCUCUAGAAGCAGAGCUACGGGCUUUGGAGUCUCUGGCCCUGGGUUUGAGGCUGCGUGCCUCCCUCACAGCUGAGCGAACGUGGGCCAGUCAGCCUGCCCCUCAGCCCUUAGUUUGCUUGUCCCUGAAGCGUGAACACCCCCACCACCCUCACAAAAUGGACAGAGGACAGACAACUUGGAACACUUCACGAUAAACCCUCCUGAAUAAUGUGUCUGUACAUGCCACUUUGAUAAAUAUAUUUUUUAAUAUAAGACCUGCAUCUGGUCUGGUAUAAAUUAUUGGAUCCAUAAAUGAUAAUUCCUCUCUCCCCGAUAUUUACACCAAAGAGCCUGUCACAGCUCCCUCAACCCUCUACUUUCAGAUCAUUCUUUUUUUUUUUUUUUAAUUUUGUUUAUUUUUGAGAGAGAGACAGAGAGAGAGAGAAUGCAAGCAGGGGAGGGGCAAAGAGAGAGGGGGACAGAGGAUCCGAAGCAGGCUCUUGGCUGUCGGCACAGAGCCCCAUGCGGGGCUUGAACUCGCCAAGCGCGAGAUCCACGAACCUCAAGAUCACGACCUGAGCCAAAGUGAGACGCUCAGUUGACCGAGCCACCGAGGCGCCCCUGCUUUUCAUUCUUAUUUCCUCAGGGGCCAACAGGAGUGUUUCUCAGCUUCUUGGGCCAAAAAGAACUUUACCAACAUUUGAAACCAAAAGAAAGUGUUCUUUUGCUCUCCUUUCGAGAGGAAACCCUUCUGGCCCCUGUAAGGGUUUCUCGGUCUCCCCCGCAGCACCACCCCCACCGCACAGAGGGGGAGCCCCUCGGGGAGUCUUGGGCCUGGUGCCUGCACCUUGCAGCCCUCACCCUGACGCCCCCCUCUCCCCCACCCUGCAGCCAGCAUGCUUGCACAGCUGCCUGGGGAGCAGGGGGCAGGGGGCAGGGGCCGCGGUCUCGGGUCCUGGAGGAUCAGGCCUGGUGGUUCCGAAGCCAGACUUUCUUUCACACACAGCUUUCCUCGGGGGGCAUGGACACAUUGCUGAAGGUUGAGCUGUGAGUUUAAAAAUAAAAAUGAAACUCUGGUACAAGUUCCUCAUCUCUGCCCCCUUGGGCUCUUAACGGUCAAGUCACUCCCUCCGGUGAGUCAGGCUGGGAAAUGCUGAUAUCACCUCGGUCAGAGAAUCCUCCCUGCAGGGCAGGCUUCCCGAGGCUCAGACCUGCUCCCUGGCACCGUGAUCGUGACCGGAAGGCCCGACCAGCGGCCAGGAGGUCCUCUAGGGGCCAAGCGGAGAGCAGGGGCCCCGCUGCCCCCCCUUUGCCCUCUGCGGGCUUUGUUUUCCCCUCUCCUCACCCCCGCGGGGCUCACGCUUGAGCCUGAGAAGCACAAGCCCUGCACCCCGGGGCUCUGAGUCAGCAGGUGGGGCCCAGGACCCCGCCCUCUGACCAGAUCCACCCAGGUGGUUCGACGCUGCUCACGGACCGUCCCCUGAAACUAACACUGAUAUAUUUUCCCUUCUCUUGUUUAAUCAGAGCAACACGAGACUAGGAAAGCAUGGAUGGAAAUGGCCUGGGGCCCGGCUGCUACGCUGAGAGCUCCCUUCCAGCCCCAGCGGCUGCCCGGCCCCCUCCACUCACCGAUACCCCCCACCCUACCCCAGGGGCUCUGGCACCUCCAGGGCCCAGGCCGCUGCCCAGAUGUGAAGGUCCUACUAGGCACCAGCUGUAUCUGCCCUCGUCUUGCUCCCGGUAGCUCUAAGCACAUCGUGGGGCCUCAGAGCACGUGGCAAGUCGCCCUGGGGCUGGCCCUGGAAGGAAGGGUGUGACCUGCCCGGGUUUGGUGGCAAGAAGAGGGAAGCACAUUUCGGGAGGGAGAAGCUGCCUCAACAGACAGGGCACCUUUCUACCAUCAUGCCGAAACGCUUUCACCACUGCGAAGAAGCGAACACCCAAGCUGUUUUUCUCUCCCGGACGUUAGCUGUGGGCAGGAUGGCCUCCCCUCUGUCCUCCUCCACACCGGGCUCACCUUCACCUCGAUUCUCCCUCGUUCCCCCUCCUGUUUGUGACAUUUCCGCCAGAGGUUGGGCAGAAAGUAUACGGGGUCCUCCUGCGAAGCCCAGCUGCCGAGCCUCUGCGCAAACGCCCCCGGCCCCGGGGACUGAGGAAUGUCUUCUGUCUUAUGAGUUCUUCCAAGACACAUUUACAGAGCACCUGCUGGGUGCCAGGCCCCGUUCUGUGUGCUCAGGAAUCAGACAAACAAGAUCUCCAUUUUCUUGAAAUUUACAUCCAGUGGGAGGAAACAGAAAACUCAUAGGUAAGGUAGUAUCUGAUAAGUGCCAUGUAGAAUAUCCAACAAGAUAGUCUGAUACUGACCAGCGUCCCUUGGGAAUCCCACCGGACUUUAGAGACUUCUUGCUUUUCCCUCAAUGAGGCUUAAAGUGAACUUUUGACUAUCCCCCCCACCCCCCAAAAUAAAAAUCUGUUUUAGGCUUAUGAUUCUCUUUCACUGAAAAAAGAGGGGAUUCGGGUUAAAACAGUUUCCCGAAUCGCUUUGCUCUCUGUCCCUCUGAAAUACCAUUGGUGUGCCAGGAAUGUGACUUUUAUGAGCAUUCUCCGGUGACAAUGCCUGUUCCUUGCCUGUUCUUGCCACGAUUAGUUGGUAACAAUUCUUGCAGGAAUGAGCCAGCUCUCUCUCACCAGUCAGGUGAUGCACCCAAAGAUUUACUUUUUUAAUCUGUAAGACAGGGGUGCCUGGCUGGCUCAGUUGGAGGAAAAUGCCACUCUUGAUUUCGGGGACAUGAGUUUGAGUGUAGAGAUUACUUAAAUACAUUUAAACUGUGAAAACAAAAACAUCACGGGGAACUAUGAUGAUUAUAGGAGUGUAUCUCACUCUUUCUUUUUAAAGCCAUUUUUUUUUUUUCCUUUUAAGGAUAAAAGGUGUGGAAAGAAUCAUUCGCUCUUACUUUCCAGAAAUACUUUGUGAGCUCUGUUUUGUGCAGACCACGGUGUUUGGUGCUGGGCAGGGAGAUGAUGGAAGAACUUCCUGCAUUCAGUUUCCUGACCAUUGGCCCCCAGAUGGUCACAGGGUGCGACAAAAAGGUGUGGUCAGACGGGGGACAUUUGAUGCCUCGCCGACCGUUUUGCGGAUACAAGAUCACCCCUCCACAGGACAGAAUUUUUCUAGAGCAACGAGCGCUGACCCAUUUGCAUGGCAAUGCACUUGAAAGUAACUGCUUCUCAGUGAUGUCGCCAUGACAAAUCACAUUUCCCAGCGUUUUGUGCGGAGGUAGGUUCUUGGAGAGUGGGAAAGGCUAUCUGCCCCCUCCACUAAACUAUCCCAGGGAAUUUGCUGGAUUUUGACUCUGCUCUCUUGCCCUCGGUGGUAACUGUCACCUCCUAACACAGAGUGACAGGUGACACGCCAUGCAUUCUCUUCCCUCACCUCCUGUGAGAUGCGGGGGAGACCUGGAGGAGCGGAGAGGGACCGGGGCUGACUCUGCCUUGCUUCAGUCCCCUCCCCACUGCCAAACACCAACUGUGUACCGGGCACAGGCAGGUGCGAAAUUCGUUUGUGUUCUUGCAGGUCACCAGAGUCUAGAUAGUGGUUUCUAGAGCCCCCCGAAGAACGUUGAUUCGCUCCCCGCCGCGGACCCAGGUUUCGGAAGAUUUUGUGCACCUUAUAGUGACCACAAACCGCCACCUGUUUCUGCACCCUCCAGGUGAAAUCCUACCUACACUAUCCCACUCAGUCCCCACGGCAGUGCGACGAUGGGCAUGUCAUCGUCACCCCACGUUAUGUAAGCAGGAAACACAAGGCACAGCGAGGCUUAAGACUUUGUCCAGGGCCCUGCAGCUGCUCAGAGUUGGGAUCUGAAUUCAGGCCUCUCAGACUCCACCCUGAGCUUUUCUAUGAUGCCAUGCUCUUUUGUCUUUUCGAAAUGAAGUUAUGAUAGAAACCAAAAUACUAAUACCCAAACUGCAUUAUUCAAUACUAAUUGCCUUUACUUCCAAUUGUUAAAGAAUCGCCUAUAUAAACUGGCCGCGCAGAGGGCGUUCUGGGCCCCUGUCGCUCCGAUUCUGACAGCUGGUUCAUUGGUGCAGCCCUAUGCUGGAUGUUGUGAAAUGUUGAAAAUACGCUAAAGGUCUUGCUCACCGGCUCCCCCCAACCCCAGCUGGUUCCCCUCCCCACUUCCUCCCUCUCUUCCUUCCUCCCAUCCCUUCCUUCUUCCCUCCCUCCCUCCUUCCCUCCUUCUUUCCUUCCUAGUUUUUAAAAUUCAAGUGAAAAUCUCAUAACCUAUAGCUAACCAUUUCAAAGUGAACAGUUUAGUGGCGUUUACUACAUUCACUAUGUUGGGCAACCACCACCUCCACCUAGUUCCACAAUUUUCAUCACCCCAAAAGGAAACUUAGCGUCCAUUAAGCGAUUGCUGCCCAUUGUGCCAGCGCCUGGAAACCAUCAUUCACCAGCUUUUGAAGCCUGGGCUCCGCGUGCCCAGGUUAGGAUCUCUGUUCCAGCCUGGGGGCCAGCUCUCUCUGUCUGCCUUCCUGAGUGAAAUCCCUCAAUCGGAAGGGGCUGCCUGAGCCACCUGCAACCCCCUUCCCCACGGCCCUCCUGCAAUUCCAGGACAGCGGCCCCUAGUGACUUCGGGCUGUGAGACUCCUCUCUGAAGCCCGCCAGUUCUGCAUGGCCAGAGGUACAGGAACCCUGUAGCCCCGUGGGAUGUGGAAUCUACUCGAUUACAAAAUACUAACCAGCAGGACAAGAACAGGGUUCCCGUGUCUCCUUUCACUUUCUGUUACUUUCCACACGCAGUAGCUUUUACUCUUGUGAAAAACCAGAUGCUCAGUGGGGAGAUACAUAUUAAAAAAAAAUGAUGCUUUUUAAAAUUUUAUUUAUUUUGAGAGAGAGAGCGAGCGAGCAUGGGGAAGGGGCAGAUAGAGAGAGAGAGAGAGAGAGGGAGAGAGAGCCCCAAGCAGACUCUGCACUGUCAGCACAGAGCCCAAUGCAACUCACGAACGGUAAGAUCACAACCUGAGAUGAAAUCAAGAGUCAGAUGCUCAAGCGACUGAGCCACCCAGGCACCCCGGGAAAUGCACACUUUUGAUGGGCUUUUGCAUACAUGAUGGAAGGAGCCAGCUAUUUUGCUCGAAGGAUGUGUGGACAGCACGUGCUAUGGGAGAAUAGGAUACUGAGGUUGCGAGCAAAAUGUGCCUGCUGUUUUAGAGCCGAGAAAGCAUUACAAAUUCAUGAUCUCAUGCACAUUUCUCAAACAGAAGAUAAUGUUCUUAUUCCCAUUUUACAGGAUGAGGAAAUUCAAGGAGUCGGAAGCUAAUUGACUUGCCCAAAGCUGCACAGCUGGAAAUUGCAGGCAGGCCUUCCUGACUCCAAAAUCAGUGCCCUUUUCAGGACACCAAAUAUUAUGGGCCGACUGCUGGUGUUUCCCCACAACACAUAGGUUGAAACCUAAUCCCCAACGUGAUGGUGUUGGGAGGUGGGGCCUCUGGGAGUGAUUCGCUCGCUCGUGAGAGUGGAGACUUCAUCAAUGGGAUUAGUGCCCUUGUGAAACAGACCCCAAGGCCCCCAGCGGAUUUGGUGACUGGUGAGGGAGGGCCCACUCUCUGGGUCAUAGCCUUCUUCAGUGUGUCCUCACAUGACAUAGGUUUUUAUCCCCAGGUCUCCAUCUGCUUGAAUUUGUCACAUCUGUCAGGACCUGACCGAUGAGCAAGAUCAAAGGCCAGAAUCAUCCUCUUAGCCUUGCUGUAUUCAGUGAGUGGAGACACACAUGAGUCGGACUCCUCAUUUUAGACAUCUCUGAAUUCCGUGGAGUGCAGGUGAAGCGUGAUCCAGCCCCUGCACACACCUUCACUUAUUCCUCCCUGCCUCCUGACGCCCCACACUACACCCUAUGUUACAUUCACUCCAAACCGUUUGAAGUUCCGAAGCAUGCCAGAAAAUUCUUUACCCCUAUGCCUUUCAUCAUUAUUGUGAUAAUUAUGACAAUGCUGAUACUGUUCUCCUGGGUCUUACUAAUGUGCUGGGUUCUACACAUGUGCUGUUUCACUUAAAUCCCCCUCCCCAACUCAUGAAGCUGUCAUUGUCAAUCCCACUUAACAAAUGAGCAAACUGAGGGUCAGGGUGAAGAGCUGGGCUUUGGAGCCAGACAAUCUGGGUUCAUGCCCAGCUCCACUGCUAUCUAAUUAGUCUGACCUUGGGCGAAUUCCAUCUGUCUCCCAGCUCCAGUAUCUUGCGUAACACUGAGCAUGAUGAACCUGCCUCGUGGGGCUGUUCUGAGAAUUAAAUUAGAUGGGCACGGCGUUUGGCAACUGGUUAGAACUUCAGAAAUGUUCGGAAUUAUUAAUGCCCACUUCGUAAGUGGCCAAGAAAGAAACUGACUCAGCUCAGCUCUGAUUCCAACCCCUUGGCUUCUCAAGUUGCUAGUUCAGGACCCAGCUGUGUCCCCUCUGCUCCACCACGGCAAGGUGGGCUUCACUGCCCUUCUUUAGAGAUGAGGGCACUGAUGCUCAGGCAAGGUUCCAGGUGCUUCUUUUUCACUUGGCCUAAAUGCCUCUCAGAACUUCUAGGAAGAGUUUUAUGAUCUCCUUCUGCCCUCUCUGUGGCUCCCUCCCUUCCAAGUUGAACAAACACCCUUCCCCCUCAGUCUCCUCCAUACUGGGUCGUCUGGGCUGCUUUCCUGCAGAUCCAGGGCCAGGAGUCCCUUGCAAGUCCUGUUGGAAUCAGAUCUUCUCACCGCCCCCCACCUCCACCCCCAGCACUGGGCCUGGGUAAGGGAAAGGGUUCAGACCUCUUUGUAGAAGAAACCAACCGGUUAUAAUCAGGUAAGUCAACACCUGAUAUUAUUUGGGCACAUCCCAGCCCCCAACAACACAUCCAGGAUAUCUGGAGGUGGAGGGUGGAAAGACAGUGAAGGAUCUUGAUGUAACUUAUCUUGAUGCCCUGCUAGAGGUCAGUGCAAAGAUACUUUAAAGAACCCUGUCUAUAUUCCUGAGAAAUGUGGCAGAAUUUCAAGACAAUGAUAGGAUGGGCUUGAGGGCGGGAGGAGCAAGGCAGAGGGAAGAAGACUGUCCGUUCCCCAUGCGUGUUGUGUUGUUACACGGAGAAAAAUGCAUUCACUGCCAUUACAGAGGAGGGGAAAGAUGGGGCCUCCGUAAGAUCCGACGCUGGAAUUACAGACAGGAGCUUUUUGGGAAUUCCUAUACUAAAAGUCCUUGGAGAGCCAGCUACUCAUGGUGGCACAGGCACCCGAGUCCCUCCCCUGAUCCUGCUUUAUUUUUCCUCCUAGCACCUGGCACCUCCAGACACAUCAGAUAUUUGCUUGUUGUCUGUCCCCUUGCCUCCCAGGCCGGAAUUUUGUCCGGGUUCCCAGUUGUGUCCCCAGGGCCUAGAACAGUCCUGGCACUUAGUAGGCCCUGGCACUUAGUAGGCCCUCAGUAAGUAUCUGUUGGAGGCCUAAUGUCUUGAACGCACACGCUGUCACCGACCCCGCUGCGAGGUGGGCCGGCCGGAUUGGCAUCAUUCCCAAGCACAGGGGCGGGGGGGGAGGAGGGGGGGGAGCGGACCCAGGGGGCAGGAACCCGGCUGGCCUCAAGGUCGGGAGGCUGGCGCUGGAGCCCGAACCCUGCCCGACAGGCCGUGACCUUGGGCCAGCCCUGCGCCUCCGGGGGCUUGGGGUUUCCACGUCUGGGUCAGCGGGGCGUCGAGCCCCCCACCCCCAC